rnacentral:rRNA from 1 species
AGUGAACGCUGGCGGUAGGCCUAACACAUGCAAGUCGAACGGCAGCACAGUAAGAGCUUGCUCUUACGGGUGGCGAGUGGCGGACGGGUGGGGAAUACAUCGGAAUCUACUUUUUCGUGGGGGAUAACGUAGGGAAACUUACGCUAAUACCGCAUACGACCUACGGGUGAAAGCAGGGGAUCUUCGGACCUUGCGCGAUUGAAUGAGCCGAUGUCGGAUUAGCUAGUUGGCGGGGUAAAGGCCCACCAUGGCGACGAUCCGUAGCUGGUCUGAGGGGAUGGUGAGCCACACUGGAACUGAGACACGGUCCAGACUCCUACGGGAGGCAGCAGUGGGGAAUAUUGGACAAUGGGCGCAAGACUGAUCCAGCCAUACCGCGGGGGUGAAGAAGGCCUUCGGGGUGUAAAGCCCUUUUGUUGGGAAAGAAAAGCAGCAGGUUAAUACCCCGCUGUUCUGACGGUACCCAAAGAAUAAGCACCGGCUAACUUCGUG